GGAGAGGGGAGGAGAGGGGAGAGAGGAGAGAGGGCUCCCAUGCUUCUGUGGGAGGGGAACCAAGGGAGGAACCCCUAUAGGUAAAGAGCAGCAGAAUUCUAACCUUGAAGUUAUUCCCGCCCCAUUCAUGUUUUCGACCAAUUAGAGGAGUUUUUUCACACUUCCAUGGGAGAGAUUGAUUUUUGACUCUGCCCGCAGCUCUACCAUUUCUUAAAGUGCCCUCAGCCUGAGUUCCUAGAGCCAGGUGCGAGUUGCGCCAGUGCGCAUGCACGAGGCACAAGCCACUCCUAGGGUCAUUGUGACUUUCACCGUUGCCAAGCAACGGGCUCCUGAGACCUGGCAAUGGAUAAGCACCCUGUGGCAGUGAGUCAGAAACAAGACUCAGGCCACGCCUCGCCAGGACGUUCACAGGAAACUCUCUGGAGGCCAGGAUUCAUGAACGGUCGAACAAGAGAAAGAAACUUAAGGUGGAGGGAUCGCAGGAAGCAGCCUGGAAUCUCAGCCUCAGGCCUGUGCCAAGAGAGUACAGAGGAGUGCAGGGAGCCCCGAGGUCACCAACAAUUUCUCCUCCGCUGGGAUCUCUUGGAAACCCCUCAUCCCAGAGCCUUUGAGAGGUCAGCUCAGCGACUGCCCUCUGCUUCCUUCUCAUCUCCUUUUUGGAGACCUUGGACAGCUUGUAAUGUCUAA
rnacentral:lncRNA from 13 species